GGAAGGGAUUAACAGCGGCACAAAAGAUCCACAGGGUAAGGCAAGAACUUCUGCAAACCUUCUUUCUACUUCUUUGAACUAUAUGUAGGCUCUCAGAAAGACACCAUGACCACAGAGAAGUAACAAAAUGUGGAAGAAAGGCUGGAACCGUCACAGACAGUGUGGGGAAACAAACCAUCAGUCACUCCCAUUGCCUGAUACCACAUAGAUGGUGAUAAUUAAGCCAAGUCCCUGCUGCUCCUGCGAAAAUAACUAAGGAAAGGUAUGCUUCUGAGACAGUUGAUCAGUUUGCCUUGGAGAAAGUGUGGGCGCCAAAGACAGGAUUUCAACAUUCGUACUUGCCCCACAAGCCCUGCAGGCCUUGCACCACUGCCUUUCGGAUCAUCGCCGGACGCAGGACACAUUUUUGCUAGUUAUGCUGAUCUGCAAUCCCUCCACUCCAACAGUUUGCGGUUUGAUUGGGGACAAGAGGAAGAAGCGCCGUGUGGACUGGUGGGUAUUCUUCCCCAAAGCUGUAGGGUCUCCAACGUGACUUCCAGGUUCCUACCAAAAGCAUUUUAACUCUGAGUCCAUGGUAGGUCCCAGGCCUGCACUGAUGACAGGUCAGAAGGUAAGGGGACUGCACUGUGAAUCCUUCCCUAUCCUUUGUGUCCCCUCUAUGUAGGAGAAUGAAAUGGGGGUUAUUAUAAAGGGAAAUUUGGAAGGAGAAAUUAAUUGGAAAAUAGCAAAUGGGAAGGGUGCAGAGAUAUUCCACACUUCUUUCCUUGAGGAUGAAAGACUGAAGGGCAUAGCACUAAUGGUGAUUGCCCUCUUCGUAACACCCAUGUGGGGAG